AGUAACAUCAUUGCUAAAGAAAUGCAGAAGAAAAAAGAAAAGCAAGGAAUAAGAUAAAAAGUAUUAUGUGUUUCAUUGAAUAACUGAUUCUGUCCUCCCCGCCCUAAUUUGAUGCAAGUGAAAAAAGGACAUCCAACUGCAAAGCCUCUGAGACACUAUGCACAUUCAGGGAUUCUGUGGUAGAAUCUCUUUCUUUGAGAAAGCUGAAGCGAUCAACACCCUGAUUAACCUCUGAUAUUCACGUGGUGCUCUUGAUCUUGAGGACUGCAGCAAUAACAAAGCGGUUUGGGGUGGAGAUUACUGGUGAAGAGUUUGAGUUGCUACUUGACAGAAUCCCCCUUGAUGAAGAUGGAAAUGUCAGACACCUCCAGUGCACGGCCACGUUCGAUUCUCAGUACUCCUUUACCACAUUUUCUCACUCCACGCUAGUUUUCUGUUUGUGUUGUUUUUAAUACAGAGAAUGCACUCCUAGAAGGAUUAGGAUUAUUUGAAAUUCUCUUUAUUGAUUUGUAUCUCACUUAUUAACAUUUUAUAAGUGAGAUUUUCAGAAUAGCAGCAUUGACCCCAAAAGUGGCAUGUUUUAGUGUCAAUCCAUUGCAACUGAUUUUGAAAUAUUUGCUAUCUCAGCAUCUGGAAAAUGGCCAUGAGAGAGGACAGUGUGAUGACAAAAGAGAUAGUGUACAUUAUGUUGUAGAGUUGGGAAGAAAACUGCUGUAGAUGGCAGAAAUCAGGUUCUGGAGGUGAACUGUCCCACCUUGCUCUAAGCAUGCUCUUAUCACGCUGACCUUUUACCCCCUCACUCACCUCCCACGUACUGUCUAUUCACAAGACUUCUUGCCACUUCCUUCUGGUGGGGUCCAGCCUGGACAGUAGAGUGAGUACAUGGCUAUUGCCAGUGUUUGUAUUAAAGGUAAACCAAGACUGCUUUCCAGAGU